GAUAAGCGCUACAGAAAUCAACAUCAGUACCAUCUCAUCUCGUUGGGUCUGAUCUUCCCUAGUACAAUUGAGUUGAAUCUAGUUUGUAGAAAAAUGUACAAUCCGGUAAUGUGUAGUUAAGUUCCAGAAUUAUCAAGACUCACAAAGUAUCGUACUUAUAGAAAAGAGGCUGUUGUUGCGACUGUUUUUUUUUUUGUUUUUCAAAUAUUUUUAUUCUAAAGAAUAAAUCGAUUCUUUCUUUAGAGAGAUUUCAUGCUUACUGCACUUUGUAGUAUUGAUGUAGUUCUAAACAAAAACUACUUCAAAUCAGAUUUACGACGGUCUACGAUGAAUAAAAUUUCCACUGGAAAUAUGUGAACAAAUAUUCGUGAAGGUAAUUAUAUUCGCCAAAUCUGAUUAGUACGCUACUGGAUUGGAUCACAUUUGUGUGAACUUUAGAUAACUAACUAUCUUAGCAUACGUAAUACUUUAGCUAGGCAGCUUUAAUGAACGUUUGCAUCACGCCAGCCCCGGCUCUUAUCUUUUGCCACUCAACUUCUUCCAACGUGGCAUGGACCACGCUGUGGAUUUAGCAUCAUAUCAUUCACUUGAAUGAUAUUACUUGGCUAGUACUGACUCUUUCCGUGCUGACAACAAGCAUAUUUGUGGGCAGAUGAGGAUGAGAGGCUGUCGUCGCGAUCGUGAUUGGUCAUACGCCAGCUGUAGAGAGGCAAGCGAUGAUAGUACAUACGAAUUACUACAAAAGCAAUUGCGGUCAAGAGAGAAAAACUUUCAGAAUGCAACAGUAAUCUUCUCGAGAGGUAGAGGUGUGUUUGCUUCUCAUAGUGCAGCGCAUCCGUUCAGUGUAGAUAAAAAAAAACUUGAAUUACAUCCAGACAGCGAAGCAGAGUUCGCACGCGCCUGCGACUAGGAACCACUAGGAACGCAUAUUGUAACAUUACUUCUUGUACAUAUUUGGUCCGAAAAUGCGCUAUAUGUGAAAUCCUCGCAUCAUUUCAAAUGAUAGAAACGGAACUCUGAGACUGCUUCAAUAAUAGUUUUCUGAAUAUAUAAAAUGUUUAAGGGGUAACAAAAAAUUGUCUAUUUGCAUUUGAUAUAGCAAAUAACUUUUAAUGCAACAAGAAAUAUUUGUCAAUAGUUAUUUAAAAUGAAAAUAUGCUCCAAAACCACGAAAAAAAAUAUUAUUGUAGUAUCAGUAAAAAAUCGCUUCAGAGCUAAAUACAAAAAACGUACAAGCAAAUUAUCGGUACUACAUUUUUUCAUCUUCUGCGUUAUAACUUAUCAUUUAAUCAUACCCUAUCGGAAUGAAGUUUGCAGGUGGCAGAGAUUCAAUCUCAAUUCCAUCUCGCCCAGCAGGUUUAAAUACAGUUACAGUCCUUUUGUUUUCCUGUCGUCCUAUUCUUUGCCUCUCUCUCUCCGCAUAUAUCUGCCACUCGAAUCGA